rnacentral:rRNA from 1 species
UGGUGUGACUGCGUACCUUUUGUAUAAUGGGUCAACGACUUACAUUCAGUAGCGAGCUUAACCGAGUAGGGGAGGCGUAGGGAAACCGAGUCUUAAUAGGGCGACUAGUUGCUGGGUGUAGACCCGAAACCGAGUGAUCUAUCCAUGGCCAGGUUGAAGGUGCCGUAACAGGUACUGGAGGACCGAACCCACGCAUGUUGCAAAAUGCGGGGAUGAGCUGUGGAUAGGGGUGAAAGGCUAAACAAACUCGGAGAUAGCUGGUUCUCCCCGAAAACUAUUUAGGUAGUGCCUCAAGUAUUACCUGCGGGGGUAGAGCACUGUUUAGGCUAGGGGGUCAUGGCGACUUACCAAACCUUAGCAAACUCCGAAUACCGCAGAGUACA